CCGACCCCAUAACCCCAAUUCCCCCUCACCUCCCCCUCGGGCUCCAGGAAGCUCCACCCCCCCUGCUCGAAGAAACCUUCGGGGUCGUCCACGAUGGUCUUCAUGAUUUUGGUCCAGUUGAGGGACUGCACCCCUUCCGUGUACUUCAGGUCGCAGGAGCUGCGGGGACAGCGACCCCAAAACCGUUUUUGGGGGAAAAUCCGGGCAUUUCGGGGUCCCGCGCGACAAAGGGAUGAAAAAUAAUAAUGAUAAUUAAAAAAAAUACGGCGUUUUUGGGGCUGCGGAAUGCAGAGAUUUGGGGUUUUUUCGGGGGGUGUUUGGAAUCCCAAAGGUUUGGGGAAUGGAAAUCCCAAAGUUUGGGGUUUUGGGGGUCUUCAGAAUCCCAAAUUUUGGGGUUUUGGGGUCUUUGGAUUCCCAAAGUAUGGGGUUUUUGGGAAAUGGAAAUCCCAAAGUUUGGGGUUUUGGGGGUCUUCAGAAUCCCAAAUUUUGGGGUUUUGGGGUCUUUGGAUUCCCAAAGUAUGGGGUUUUUGGGAAAUGGAAAUCCCAAAGUUUGGGGUUUUGGGGGUCUUCAGAAUCCCAAAUUUUGGGGUUUUGGGGUCUUUGGAUUCCCAAAGUAUGGGGUUUUUGGGAAAUGGAAAUCCCAAAGUUUGGGGUUUUGGGGGUCUUCAGAAUCCCAAAUUUUGGGGUUUUGGGGUCUUUGGAUUCCCAAAGUAUGGGGUUUUUGGGAAAUGGAAAUCCCAAAGUUUGGGGUUUUGGGGGUCUUCAGAAUCCCAAAUUUUGGGGUUUUGGGGUCUUUGGAUUCCCAAAGUAUGGGGUUUUUGGGAAAUGGAAAUCCCAAAGUUUGGGUUUUUUGGGGUCUUUGGAAUUCCAAAGUUUGGGGUUUUGGGGUCUCUGGAAUCCCAAAUUUUAGAGUAUUGGGGUCAUUGGAAUCCCAAAGUGUUGGGAAAAGGAAAUCCCAAAGUUUGGGGUUUUUGGGGUCAUCGGAAUCCCAAAGUGUUUGGGGAAUGGAAAUCCCAAAGUUUGGGGUCUUUGGAAUUCCAAAUUUGGGGUUUUGGGGUCUUCGGAAUCCCUAAUUUUGGGGUUUUUGGGUUCCCAAAUUUUGGAGUAUUUUUUGGGUCUUCAUAA
rnacentral:lncRNA from 1 species